AUGCUCAAAAAUGCAAAAUUGACUGGUCUGAUGGACACAGGAUGGCCGAGCAGUGAUAGUUGUACAUUUCCAUCACUCGUUGUGUUGAUUUCAUCAUGUCCAUUAGGUGAUGUUUUUUCACUAUAGAAUCAUAUUGCAAAUGCACGUGCAUUGUUGUGCAACUGGUAACCCAAAAAUAAAAAUAUGGUUGUAAAUGCA